rnacentral:lncRNA from 1 species
CUACUAGGCUUUGAAUUUCAUGGUUAAUGUUUUGUUUUUAAGUGCAUACAAGUAUGAUUCCGCCUUUUAAUUGUUAAUUGCAUGCUAUAUAUGUUGCUUAAAUGAACAUGUUUUUCACAAAAUUUCCUUCAUCUUGCUUGUAUCUCUAUUAUGCAAUUCAUGUAGGGAACUUGUGGGGAAUGCUUUGGGUUGUCGUAUGCAAUCAUCCAAUUCAAUAGCUUUAGGAAAAUCUGAGGGUUAAUUAGCGCAAUUCACGGUUAAUCUGGGGCAUUGAGAAUUCAUAAUUUAUUGAAGAGCAAUUGGAAAUCGUUUUGUAUGCAAGUGUGACAUGUGUGAAGAAGAGCCUCCUAGCUAGCCCAUCAUCCAUCUAAUUCACCAAAUUUCGUUAAAAUCUAUUUAAGUUUUUCUUGUUUUAUUUUACUUAAUUUUCGUUCAAAACCAAAUCCUCUUUUUCUUUAGAGUGUCUAACUAGUUAGAAUAUGUUUUAGAGUGUGUUUUUAAGUGUUUUGAGUCAAGAAACCCCAAAAAUUCGUCCAAAUGAGUGUUAGAGUUUAAAUCUGCCCAGUUUGUGUUUGUAGGCAGAUUUGAGUGUUUUUGUGCUGUUUUGAGUCUUUUGAGUUGUUUUAGUGUUUUGUAGUUUAGUUUUGCAUUCUUUGAGUCUAGUUUAGUGUUUUAACCUUUGUUCUAUGUUUUUGAGUUAGUUUUAAGUGUUUUACCAAUCCCUCCUAAUCCCCGGCUUAGAACGAUCCCUACUUACAUACUUUGUUGCAAUUGAUAAAAAAAGGGUUUAAUUUGUGUGCUUAUAUCUUUUGCAUCAGCUGCUUGAUGGUAGCGAAGUGGAGAGGGAGAGAAACAGAUAGGCAUUGCCCAAUUAGGAAAAGAGGAGAGUGAAAGUGACAAAUGGGAGAGAAGAACCAGGAGGGAAGGGAGGAAGGUGGUGGAGCACCCAACCCAGUCGACCCAUGCACCCAAAGCAAAACUGG